AAUUCGAUAAGCUCCCAAGUGGUUGUGUCAUCUAACUAGUUUAACAUGCCACCUUGGUUCGAAUGGGUGUACCUUCGUCAGCAGUGAUACUGGGACGUUGCUUAUAUAAAAAGCUAUAAUGGUAGGGUCGUUGUUUAGCGUUCUACCAUCUAGCUUGAGGUAAUCUAAAUUACCUUAUUUUUUUGCUUUUAAUUCAUUUAAAAAUCCUAAUCUCAUGAGAUCUAUGUUAACAAUUGGAUCGGGGCUUAGCAUACAAUUGAUAUAAACUUGAACACAUCUAUACGGGAAACAGUUUUUACAUGAUUUUGGUAGUAGUCUAUUUCAAGAGAUCAUCUAAAAAAGAAUCUUCAACCACAAGUUACAUAGAGAGAUCAUUUUAAACAACGUCAAUUUAUAUGAAUCCUCACGCAUUAAGUGACACCUGCACGUCAGUCA